AUACUUCGAUUUUCCGGUCGCGCAAGAUUUUUUUUGGUUACCGGAACCGGUAGUAUUCGUGCGGCAGUAUUUAAGCCGAAAGCAGUGGUGAUUUCGUUCCAGUCUGGUUUUGUCUUCAAAAUCAGACACAAAAGGAUAAUCGAAGCCCUUUGUUUGUUCAAGGAUCGGAUAUCAGUGAAUUCUUUGGAUUUAUUACAGUGCUUUUCUAUCGUCUUCAUGGAGUUCCAGCGUGUUGAGCAUAGGGGUAAGUUGACCAUCCAUAGUUUUUUUAUUAUUUUGAAAAGCAUAGUUAUUUAAGUCAAUCCAUGUACCUUAAUAUCUAAUCUAACUAUUUUUGUUCAUAUUAUCGCAAUAAGUGUUACACUUUUUUAGUAAAAAGUGACCCAGUGCAUCAAGUAUCUUGGCUAGAAAACGAAACUAGCCGCCAUUACUAACCGGAAAUGAUAGAUUCAAUGGUUAUCAAUGGCUGCAUAGCUUUUUUGUUAGAUCGAUUUUUUUUAAAUCCAUCAUCUAGAACAGAUUUAUUUAAUCAUCCGUGAUUUUGAAUGUUAUUUUUUAAACUUUUAGAAUGAUUUUAACCUAGUUCAAUUGAUAUUUUUCGUUUUUAGUUAAAUUUAAGUGAUAAUUCUUGCAAUAGCUGGUAAUAUAAUUGCGAUAAUUAUAAAACAAUUUUUAUACACAAUUUUAAGUGAUAGUUACCAUAAUAAUCACUACUAAUUAUGUUAUAAACAAGUUAUAAACAAAAUAAAACACAAAUCAAUUGAAAUAUCAUUUUAUUUCAAUGAAAAUAAAUUUUCAGAUAUUAAUCUAUAGAUCUACUUAAAUCUACUAUAUUCUCUAUAUGAUUUAGGAUAAUUGUAGAAAUUUAUUUUAAAGUAAAGGCUUGGCUGGACUUGGACUUAUCAUUGACUUAUGAAGUUGAGCCUUCUAUUUUACAUUAAAUGUCUUAUUAAACUGCAUUUUAUUAAAAUUGUACAUAUGUGUAAUUUUGUUUGAAACAUUUUUUUUUCACAAUUAAAUAAAACUAACUUUUUUUUUGUUACAUUUUCCCCAGAUAAUGUGGGCGUGGCAGGCCUUGAUGUCGAUGUUGUUGACAAUAAGUUUCAAAGGCUGGCUGCCUGGUCGUGCGGUUUGCACGCUGGACUGUCGUUCGGACUUAUCGAUGGUCCCGGGUUCAAACCCUGCCCGCUCCCAUCCCCCGUCGUCCUGCGGGAGGUUUGGACUAGGAAGUAAUUAUCUUCAACUCUGAAGGAACAUCCGAAAUAAGUAAAACAUUUUACAAGGCAUAUGACUGAUGUGAAGAACUUUUGCAGGAAGAUUACCCGCAGCUGGCACCUAGUUGCACCCUACUUGGAUAAAAAAAUUUCUAUCGAUGCUGCUGGCAAAAAGACACCUAUCCAAGUCCUAAGACAGCACUGAACGACCUAGUAUGGUGAAGAAGUUGCGACCUGAAGGUGAUGUUGAGGCUACUGAAAGGCCAGGUAACACAGAACAACACUGUGCUUGUUGUUGCAGAAAAGCGGUUAGUCUUUUAAGGGCUUUUUGGCAAGAUGUUGACUGGACCGUGGAUGACACUAAUCUACAAAAUGAAAGAUGAAACAUUUUAAAGAUACCAUUUAUGCAGCUAUUAUAUUUAUUCUCUUGUUUUCUAGAUCUCUCAUGUGAAGGUCUGCAUUGACAAACUAAAGCCACUAAAGGCCAUUGUGGAUUCUCCAGAGAAUCUCCUUUCAAUACUAACUGAUUGCUUUGGCCAGACUCUGGAUACUGAAGAUCUCGUUCUGAAAACCCUGAGAAAUGUGACUGUUGAUGAAGUAUUUAUCGAGAUCACUAAAGAACUUGCUGAAGGUUUUUGUAAGGUGCUACAGAGACAGUACUUCAAUUGAUAAUUUCCAACAACAAACAAAUCCAUUAUGUGCUUACCCAUCAAAUAGUUAGAUAUAUUUUAUUUUAAUGGAACAUGUUGCAUAUCUGGGAUGUUAUUUAUUUAAUGUGAAAAAUAUAAUUUCACAAUACAGAUGAUAAUUGUGCUAUGAACCAUUUAUAUUAAGUCUUGAUAAUUUUACCUUUUCAGCAAGCCUACAUUGGUAUGCAUUAAAAGUAUUUAUUCUAUUUCAGCAAAACAGAUAGGGUACACCCAAACAAUGUUCAUCUUCAAACAAUCAUGCAUGAUCCUCGCAAGCUUUGGAUACUGACGUACAUUUGCAAACGCACUCAGACUGAUGACAUCAAGAAAUCUAUAUUUGUUAUUUACAUUAUAUGUAAAUUUAAAUACUCUUUUUUUUUUUUAAUUUGUUUUAAUUUUGUAAAUCUUGUAUAAUUAUCUCAAAAGUCUAGAUUAAAAUGUUACAGCUCUCAAA